UUAGUAAACAGAAGCCUCGGCGGAAGAUUACUAAUGAGAGUGGCGAACGGGUGAGUAACGCGUGAGCAACCUGCCUAUGACAGUGGGAUAGCCUCGGGAAACCGGGAUUAAUACCGCAUAAAAUCGUAGAAACACAUGUUUUAACGGUCAAAGAUUUAUCGGUCAUAGAUGGGCUCGCGUCUGAUUAGCUAGUUGGUGAGAUAACAGCCCACCAAGGCGACGAUCAGUAGCCGGUCUGAGAGGAUGAACGGCCACAUUGGAACUGAGACACGGUCCAAACUCCUACGGGAGGCAGCAGUGGGGAAUAUUGCACAAUGGGGGAAACCCUGAUGCAGCGACGCCGCGUGAACGAAGAAGGUAUUCGUAUCGUAAAGUUCUGUCCUAUGGGAAGAUAAUGACAGUACCAUAGAAGAAAGCUCCGGCUAAAUACGUGCCAGCAGCCGCGGUAAUACGUAUGGAGCGAGCGUUGUCCGGAAUUAUUGGGCGUAAAGGGUACGCAGGCGGUUUAAUAAGUCGAAUGUUAAAGAUCGGGGCUCAACCCCGUAAAGCAUUGGAAACUGAUAAACUUGAGUAGUGGCAGAGGAAAGUGGAAUUCCUAGUGUAGUGGUGAAAUACGUAGAUAUUAGGAGGAAUACCAGUAGCGAAGGCGACUUUCUGGACACAAACUGACGCUGAGGUACGAAAGCGUGGGGAGCAAACAGGAUUAGAUACCUGGUAGUCCACGCCGUAAACGCCGCCUGCUAGGUGUUGGGGUCAAACCUCGGUGCCGAAGUUACACAUUAAGCAUUCCGCCUG
rnacentral:rRNA from 1 species